CCUCAGGCUUCAAGCCCGAUUUGUAGCCUUUGGGCUGCAUCUCAGGUUUGACUCGGGGAGAAAGAGGGGAUGGGGACAUAAGGGCUGACAAAUUGGAGAGAGGAGACAGCUGGUUGUGGCUGUGGCUGUGGCUGUGGCUGUGGCUGUGGCGAGAGGAGAGGAGGGGCACAGAGGGACGGACAGAUUGGAGAGAGAUGGGAGCUACGGGUGAUCUUGAUGCCGCGUGUUGAUAAUCGUGGAAAGGUCGGGGUGCGAUGGUCGCUUUAGUCUGUAGGGUUUCGAACGGAUUGGGUGGGUUAGGGAGACUUUCAUUUCCUUUCUUUCUGUGAUCUGCAGAGGGACUCGGUGAGACCAUGCCGUCAGGAGAGAGAGCAGGAGGGAGAGAGAGGGAUUUGGUGAGGGGAAGGCAUGCGGCUUGCAGAGAUGAGGAUGAGAAAGGGGGAGGGACAAAGGAAGAGAGAGAGAUAGGGAUUGGGUGAGGGGAAGGCAUACGGCUUGCAGGUAGACAGAGUCACAGGGGUGUACGAUUCAAGGGAGAGAGAGAGAGAGAGAGAGAGAGGAGAUUGAGUGGUGGCAUCACUCUUACUACCUGCACUCCUGAGGCCGGCUACCAGAGAGAAGGACACAUGAGAGGAGAGAAAGAAAGAAAGAGAGAGCGCGCAGAGGCAGGAAGGCCUGAGAUUGAGGACAAAGGCCAUGGUUGCACAGAAUGACUGAGAUUUGAAGCCCAUGACAGCCUCAGCUGAUUGAAAAGCUUCAGAUUCGAAAUUGUGAUUUUGGUCAGCAAACCCAGCUCCAAUCAUCUACAAAUCAAACCUCACGAAGGCAAAUUACUAUAUUGCCUAUUUUCCUUUCAAAUCCAACGGGUCGAGGCAGGCUAGAGCUGGUAUAGAUUACAAAUAUUAGUUUUGCAUAGCACUGUAAUUUUGAUUGGUGAGAUCGGCCUCAUUAAAAAAAAAAAAAAAAAAAAAGAACAGCCAUCUUUCAAUUCAAUAGUAAAGGCCUUCAUUCAAAUAUGAGUUUUGCAUAGCACUAUAAACAUUAUAUGUAGUUACAGAAUUGCUGUUUUGAUUGGUAGCUCUAUUGAUUUUUGUUUAGUUGAUUUGAAUUUAUACCGAAUUUACUUAAUUUUUAGUACAAUUAUUUGCUUUCUGGUUUUUAAUUUAAAGACUAGGAGUUUGAAUGGUGUAGUGGAGGUUGAUGUUGUUUCCCACAUUUUUGUUAUGAAUUCUCAAUGUUUGAUGAAUUCGGGAAAUCAAUUUUGUUAUCUCUUAUGCAGUUAUGAUCGUAUGAGUUGGAAUUUAGAUUUCACACACAUGUAAACUGAAAAAAUAAAAUAGAUUUCGUAAUUCGAAGUUAGCCGACCCCACAUGAUGGGAAAAGGCUUAAGAAGAAGAAGUUAGCUCUAAACUAUAGAAGCAUGGAAGUUUAUGUGGACCUUAGAUUGUUUUGAAAAAUAAUUGAUUGAUUCAAGAAAGCAAAGACCUUGGAACCUUAACUGUCUCAUUGUAAUCCAUCACCAAGUUCUGGUAAUUUAUGUUCUAUUUUUUCAGUCAUCUGAAACUGAAUUGCAUUUGGGUGUUUGUCUUUGAUGCUAUUUUUUGGAUGUAGGUAACUAGAUUCUUAUUCUCUGGGAAUUGUAUUCGUUUGUUCAAUCUCAGUAUUUUACCAAUAUUCUCACGAUGUCCUUUGUUUUUAAUCUAUAAUUUAUUUUGUCCAAUUCAUGAAAAAGUUGAUGAAAAAGUUGCAGUUUCGGAAAUGACUGUCAGCAAUCAAGAUGUGAAAAAGAAGUCUUUUAUUCAUAAAAUCUUCACCUCAAAGGAGAAAGAAGGAAGCGGCUCUUUGGAUUUCUCAGGUGAGUCUCUAAUGGUUGACUGCAACUGAAUAUCCUUCUUCCUUUCUUCUUUGUUUGAAACAGUGAUAACUCAGUCAACUAUGAGUAGAUGUAUAGUGGCCUGCUUCAGUGCUCACUUGGUAAAGUUUUUUGGUCACAUAAAGGUGCUAGAGUUGGGAACUUUUUGGAUCUUAAAUCAUUGGUUGCCUAACAUUCUCUAUAUUGAAAGGCAUCAUUUUUGUUACCACAUUUUAUAUAUUUUAGACAAUGAAUAUGAGUGCAGUGGACUCUGAGUCAGUGAACAGGGAGUUACUAAUUUUGUUAUAUGAGAUUUGGUUAAAUGUCUAAUACACAUGGUUGCUGAGGUUUGUUUACAUUGGUGGUAAAUUCUUGCUUUCUUUUCAAUUUUGUUUUAUUGUAAUUCGUCUUGGUUUAUGGAUCUUGCAUUGCUGACGUGAAAUGGUUAUAUUUCAAUGUUUGUGAGAUGUCGAAUUGUGUGUUUGUGGCUUAGUGAGAGUUAGAUUUAGAUUGUGUAGAAAAUGUGGGCUUCGGAGUGUAACCCAAUUAGCAAUUUGGAGUGAUUGAGGAGAAGUAUUCUGAGCUGCAGUAGGACUUGGUGAGACCAUGCCGUCAGGAGAGAGAGCGAGCGAGCAGAGAGAGAAGAGGGAGGGAGGGAGAGAGAUAGGGAUUUGGUGAGAGGAAGAGAAAGGAGGGAUGUGACUUUUGACUCGGGGAGAGAUAACUGUGCCUGUUGCUUCGGUCAGAGCAUUGUUGGGGGAGGAGGACAGAGGGACUGACAGAUUGGAGAGAGAUGGGAGCUAGGGGUUUUGACUCGGUGAGAUUGUGAGGGAGAGGGGGAUGGCAGAGACAGAUGAGAGGGAGCUGGGCGUGGGAAUUGCAGAGAGAGAAAGAGAACUCAGAAGAUAUUUGUUUUGUUGAGAGCUGACAAGAAAAGGGGAGAAACAACGGCAAAGUGACAGAAUUUGAGAAUCUGAAGAAAAAAAUGAUUAGUGGGGUUUUAGCUUGUGGCACUUUCUUCCCUGCUUUCUAAACACAUUUUUCUCAACACACCCCUUCAAGCUCUGGAAGUGUUUGCUCAAAUUGGAGCUCAAAAGCGUCAAAUUUUAUGGAACAAAUGGUCUCAAAGAAGCAGAUUACACUGCGCAGUAGCAGCGCAGGACGCGGUGGGCCUGGGUUUGCCGCUUGAAGAUGACGUGUUCCUGAUAGUCGGUCACUUCCGUGACAGUUCCGAACGAAGGAUUCGGCUCCCAAGCUCCGAUGAUUGUGUCUGGCAAAGAGAAUUCAGGAAGAGUGGAAGAUCCAAGAAGGAUUUGCCAGGCGAGUUCUUUUGUUUUUUAUUUUGAAUUUCCUUUUAAAUAACUGUUUUGAAUUAAUGGUAGUGAAGUUUUCUCAUACUUAGCCUAUUCAUUUUUAUCAAAUAUUUUGCACUGACUAUUUCAUGAUGCUGACUGAUGUAAUUAAUUUGGUUUUGUACUGAAAGUUGGAGUUGAGAAUAUAUGGAAUAUAGUUGUUGGAUUGGUGUUUGUACUAUAGAAACUUAGGUGUGCUCACCCCCUUUUCAUGGACAUCCAUAGCUUAUGAGACGCUGUUCAAGUCGGACCACUGGUGAAUGCCUAAACUGUUGUGCUUAAAUAGAUUCAUCAACUCAAUAUUGUCGUUAAUUUUUGUUUUGAGUCCAUUUUCCCUGCUGCUGUUCUAUUAGGAUUAUAAGCUCAGUCGUUCAGGCAUGACACAUUUUCAGUGGGAAGUCAUAAGCAUAAUUCAUUUUUUUUUAGAUUAGACUCAAGAUUUUUAUUUGCAUUAUUCUUCCGUUUUACAAAUAUAAUUGGCUGCCUUAAUGAUUGUUGAUGAAUCAUCACGAAAGUCCAUUUCUCUUUUAAUCAUUGACUAUUUUUUUUCUUCUUCAUUGGCAGUCGAGGCAAAAGGUUCUUGCGAUUUCAAUCAAAUGCAAACUGUGCAAGUAUAUAUGUUGUAUGCACACAUGCAUAUAAACUAAUAUAAUAUAUAUACAUGAUUUCAUGUGUUAAAGAGUGUACUUGUUCUUAAAUAAAGGUUCUGCUGACAAAUGUGUUUAACAAUAUGAUCUUACAACUCAUCUUUAAACUUUGUAUAACUGAAAUAUUAUUCAUCAAUUGUAACUUCCCCUGUUGCUAUUUGCUAAUGACACAAGCUAUGAAGAUUGUACUCAUUCUGUUCGUAGAUGCAAGGCUAGAAAUUAGGUUUGUAUGGGGUUAAAUCAAUUGAUGCUAUAGUAUUUGUUAAAAUUGUAAGAUUUGGUGGUUUGGUAAAUUGAUUAUAGUAAUGUUGUUUGUGGUUUGGGUUCUCCUUUUGUUUUGGAUAGAUGAUGCUUGAUUGUGGUUUAAGUUUUUAUUAUUAUUAUAUUCCCUGCACAUUGCAAAAUUCUGGUACUAUUUGAGGAUUUUGGUGUUGAAAGUCUAGGGUUUAGUGGAAUGAAAAGAAGGGAUGUAUGCGUUUCGGAAAUGUGUUUUUAAGGUGAAUGCAAACAGUGCAAAACGCGGUCUGAAAAAUGGACGAAAGCGAGCAUUUCGACUUGCUGCUGCAAUACACAGAUCAAGUGGAUUAAUUAUAGCUACGUGGGGUGCUUCAGAGUGUACGGCAUGUGGAUAACUUUUCAGUGGUCGAAUAGUGUUCUUCAAAAUGUUUUGAUUAAUUUUCUUGAAGUUCAGUUGCUAGCUAGUAUAUGUAUAUUUUUUUAAGGGAUGAUAGUGUUCUCAUUCCCUUAAUCUUAUUAAAAUAAAAACAGAAAUACAAACAAGGGUGUGGAUCCAAAUUUCUGCCUUUUUUUUCUUGGACGAAAAUGCACCUGCAAAACAAUUAACACUUUAGGUUAAGGUCAAGAGCGUCACGCGCCCAUGAUGAAUGGGGGACCUUUGGCCGAAGAACUUCCGAUGUCAAAGUUAGAAUUUGAGGGAGAAAGUAUUUGGAGAAAUCUGGAGAAUUUCAAAAGAGAAUUAGAUUCAGGUUGUUUGAGAAAAUGAGGGGCUAUAUAUGGAGGUGUGGCCGACCCUAUUAGGAAAUUUGGGACCGGUCACAUAUGGUUGAUGUGUGGGAUUGAUUGCAAGAUAUUAUGUGAGAUAAUAUCUUACAAUUAAUUUGGUAAUUAAUCAAUUAAUCCCAAUUUGAAAAGAAUAAUUGGGAGUUAUCUUGUGGGUGAGAAUUUGAUGAGGAGUGAUGAGAGAGUUUUAAAAGAAUACCAUUUUGAUCACCUUUGACCUUGAUUGAGUUAUUGUUUGUUACAUGUGUGGGAAUCUUGAUGUGUUUUAAGGGUAAUUUUGUCUUUUUAACUCAAAAGUCUAUGUGUCGCCUUUAUAUUUUUCUUGAUUAUUUUUUGUUCCAAGGCAAUACAAAGCCAAACCUCCUUGAGGAAAAAAAAGGUAAAACCAAAAAUCAACCCCACAUACAAAGAAAACAUAUAAUGAAAUCAUUUGAAACGAUGGUUGGUAAAAGCAGAAAGAGCAAAAG